CCUACGGGAGGCAGCAGUAAGGAAUCUUGCGCAAUGGGCGAAAGCCUGACGCAGCGACGCCGCGUGGGCGAUGAAGGCCUUCGGGUUGUAAAGCCCUUUUCUGGGGGACGAGGAAGGACGGUACCCCAGGAAUAAGUCACGGCUAACUACGUGCCAGCAGCCGCGGUAAAACGUAGGAGGCAAGCGUUAUCCGGAUUCACUGGGCGUAAAGCGCGCGCAGGUGGCCUGUCAAGUCGGACGUGAAAUCUCCCGGCUCAACUGGGAGGGGCCGUUCGAUACUGGCGGGCUUGAGGGCAGAAGGGGAAGGCGGAAUUCCCGGUGUAGUGGUGGAAUGCGUAGAUAUCGGGAGGAACACCCGUGGCGUAGGCGGCGUCCUGGCCGACACCUGACGCUGAAGCGCGAAAGCGUGGGGAGCGAACGGGAUUAGAUACCCCAGUAGU
rnacentral:rRNA from 1 species